UACGGAGGGUGCGAGCGUUAUCCGGAUUUAUUGGGUUUAAAGGGUGCGUAGGCGGAAUAGUAAGUCAGUGGUGAAAGCCUGUUGCUUAACAACAGAACUGCCAUUGAUACUGCUAAUCUUGAGUUCGGGAGAGGUGAGUGGAACUGCGAGUGUAGAGGUGAAAUUCGUAGAUAUUCGCAAGAACACCAGUGGCGAAGGCGGCUCACUGGCCCGAUACUGACGCUGAGGCACGAAAGCGUGGGGAGCAAACAGG
rnacentral:rRNA from 1 species